AUUGAACGCUGGCGGCAGGCCUAACACAUGCAAGUCGAACGAGUGGCGGACGGGUGAGUAAUGUAUGGGAACCUGCCUGAUGGAGGGGGAUAACUACUGGAAACGGUAGCUAAUACCGCAUACCAUCAGAUGUGCCCAGAUGGGAUUAGCUAGUUGGGGGGGUAACGGCUCACCAAGGCGACGAUCCCUAGCUGGUCUGAGAGGAUGACCGGCCACACGGGAACUGGGACACGGUCCAGACUCCUACGGGAGGCAGCAGUGGGGAAUAUUGCACAAUGGGCGCAAGUCUGAUGCAGCCAUGCCGCGUGUAUGAAGAAGGCCUUCGGGUUGUAAAGUACUUUCAGCGGGGAGGCGUUACCCGCAGAAGAAGCACCGGCUAACUCCGUGCCAGCAGCCGCGGUAAUAC
rnacentral:rRNA from 1 species